AACGAACGCUGGCGGCGCGUCUUAAGCAUGCAAGUCGAACGGCAAGAUUAGUGCUUGCACUGAUCCUAGAGUGGCGGACUGGUGGGUAACACGUGGGUGACAUACCCUUCAGUUGGGGAUAGCUAUUAGAAAUAGUAGAUAAUACCGAAUACGACCGUAGUUGUUAGAGGACUACGAGGAAAGUAGCUAAGGCUAUGCUGAAGGAUUGGCCCGCGGCCCAUUAGCUAGUUGGUGUGGUAAAGGCAUACCAAGGCGAUGAUGGGUAUCCGGCCUGAGAGGGCGAUCGGACACAUUGGGACUGAGAUACGGCCCAG
rnacentral:rRNA from 1 species